rnacentral:rRNA from 1 species
UAACACCUGGAAACAGAUGCUAAUACCGGAUAACAAUAGAUGAUGCCUAUCAACUGUUUAAAAGAUGGUUCUGCUAUCACUCUUGGAUGGACCUGCGGUGCAUUAGCUAGUUGGUAGGGUAACGGCCUACCAAGGCGAUGAUGCAUAGCCGAGUUGAGAGACUGAUCGGCCACAUUGGGACUGAGACACGGCCCAAACUCCUACGGGAGGCAGCAGCA